GGAGAUGCUGCCUACUGCAGUGUGGAGAAUGGAUUGGAGGGGUCAGAAUGAAUGUAGAGAGAAUUCAAAGGCUCCUGCAGGAGUCCAAGCAAGAGGAUUGCAGAUUGUAGCCUGGAAGAGGCCAGUAGCUGUGGUGACAAUGGACACCAGGUGGAUAUGUUGGAGAGACACUUAGAAGGGUCUCACUCUGUCACCCAGACUGGAGUACACUGGUGUGAUCUCGGCUCACUGCAACCUCCGCCUCCCAGGCUCAAGUGAUUCUCCUGCCUCAGCCUCUCGAGUAGCUGGAAUUACAAGCAUGUGCCACUACCACCCUGCUAAUUUUUGUAUUUUUAGUAGAGAUGCGGUUUCACCAUGUUGGCCAGGCUGGCCUUGAACUCAUGACCUUAAAUGAUCCACCCGCCUCAGCCUCCCAAGUGCUGGGAUUUUAGGUGUGAGCCACUCGCCUGGCAGAAAGACUGUCUUCUGAAAAGGACUUUUGGGAGUGAAAUAACAUCAGCUCUAAGUGACUCAUGUGCCUAUAUCCACCUGGUUGGUGGUGAAGAGGAGUUGAAAGGAAUGAAGGAUUCUAGGACAGAAGGUUCCUAUUGAGAAGACACUUUCGGCUAUAACCACUGUUACGUGUGUGUAAUUUAUUCAACACUACUGUGUAUAUAACGGACAAACAAAUCAUAUUUAAAACAUCAUCUAGUCUUUUUAGAUGUUUAGAAGUGCACAAAGUAUGUUAAAAGUAGAGGUAAAUAACACAUUUUGUAGAUAUCCUUUUGAUGUGAAAUAUUGUCUUUUGGAAAUUGAGCAAACCAAUUCCCUGAGCCGUACACAUUAUUAUAUCUGUGUCAGUUUGGGGAGGAAGGAGGAGCAGAAAGUACAAAGGGCUUUUCACCAGUGUGUUUAUGGUGAGGCACAUUGACUAUUAUCUUUUUUUUUUUUUUUUUGAGACGACGUCUCGCUCUGUCACCAAGCUGGGGUGCAGUGGCGCAAUCUUGGCUCUCUGCAACCUCUGCCUCCUGUAUUCAAGCGAUUCUCCUGCCUCAGCCUCCAGAGUACCUGGGACUACAGGUGUGCACCACCACACCCAGCUAAUUUUUGUAUUUUUAGUAGAGAAGGAGUUUCACCAUGUUUGCCAGGAUGGUCUUGAUCUAAGUCUGCAUUUUCUUUGUGCUGUGUAGAUAGCGUACAUAAGAGGACAAACCAAUCCUAAUCUAUAUCAUCUAGUCUUUGUAGAUGUUAGAGAGGUCCAGUGCGUGACAAAAGUAGAUUUAGUGAAUUAAAACACUGAGUACGUUUUGUGUUAAAAUUCAUAGGGAAGACUGUUGUUAAAAACAUAGAAGUGUGAGCCACCGCACCUGGCCAAUAGUGGGUAUUAAAAGAUAAACAAGUCUUAAUGCUCAAAGUAUGUUAAAAAUAGAUGUAGUAAAACAAUCCGUCUACAAAUGUUCUUUUGUUAUAUUUUAGGAGGCCUGUCUUCUGGGAGUGACCUUUGUUAUUCCACCUCUUGGAGCUAGGCAUAGUCCUAUACCUAGUCACUGGGAUGGUGGAAGAGGGAGAAAAGGAAGGAUGAAGGAAAGAGCUAUUUGCUAGUAUCUCCACAUCUAGAAGAUGGUUUUAGAUGAUAACCAUAGGUCUACAUGAGCAUUUUUAGUAAAGUGCUUGUGUGUAAUUCUGGACAAAGUUUAUUAUUUUGCACUAUCUAAGCUUUAUGAAUGUCCUGGGGUGAUAAUGUGUGAUAAAAAGUAGAACUAGUGAAUUAGCCAAUUUGUAAAUUUUUUCUUGUUAUAAUUUAUAGAAAAGAUGCAACUUGGACAUGGAACUGUUAAACCAUCUCUGAGCUUUGUAUGCCAGGACUUGUUCAUUAGGUUGGCAGCAGAGCAGCAAAAGGAAGUAUAAAGAGAGAGAUGUAUGCAGAUGUGUCGAUAUUUACAUUUUGAUGAUAGCCAUUGUUGUAUGUGCAUCUCUUUUAGCUGUACUAUAGGAAUACAUUAGGUAUUUCAAUGAAAACAUACCUUGCUAAUAUUUGAAUAGUAUAGAUCUGCUAAUGGAUUCUCUUAGAAACAUUAUACUUAGUGUAUUCUAUUGCUGUAUAUUUCAUUUUAAAGUGAGCACUAAAGGAAUGCGGUAUUUUAAUAAAAACUCUGCCAACGCUUUUACUUAGAGGCGUGUUGCCAAUUUUUGUCUUUUAUGAAAAUUUGGCCCAAGAAAGGCAGGAUUACAUUGUUUUUCCAACAGAUUGAGUGGGUGUAGUGUAUUCUUGAUGAUCAAAAUACUCAUAUAGCUUUGAGAUUUUGAAUUGGUAAAUACUCAAGAUGUGUGAAAAAGCAUGAUACAUACUAUAUGAUCUCAGUCCCAUAAAAUUGACUAUUGUAUCUACACCCACACAGGACCUAGAAGGACAUGUUAAACUGUAAACUGCUUGUGAUUGUGGAUGACCUUUUUCGUUGCUUCUUGUGUUUUUCAGUUUCCUAUAAUGCACAUAGUAACUUAAAAAAAUAAAGAUUAUUUUUGAAACCUAAAAAAAAGAGGUUACAGAAUUGAAUACUCCCUGAGAUAAGGUAAAAUCAUCUUAUGCUAACGGUUGCAAGAUAAUGGUAUAAGUAAGCUUUCGUCGUACAUAUCAAUGAACUUUAAGAUUUGGAAGACAAAAUUCAGUUUAUGUAUUCAAUUAAAUGUGCUCAGAUUGUAUUGUGCUAGAUAGGCACAUUAUUCUAACAUAAUAUGAAUGAAUCAAUAAAAUCCUUAUAAUACUGAUG
rnacentral:lncRNA from 10 species